UCAAAAGAUAAGAUGCCAUGGCUGGUUACCAGACCAAGAAGCAUAUUUCUGAAAAAGCACAUCUCUAAUGCCGACUUCCUAUGAUGAGCGGUAAUCAAACCAAAGUUAAAAUAACACAAGAUUCAGAGCGUUACUCAUCUGCUAUAUCACCUCAACACCUCAAACUACAACUGAAAAGGAAAAACGGACAAGAGGGGGUGGGUGAAGCUAAUUUUUAAAAGUUACCAGAGCCGGCCAGAUCCAGCUCCAUUCCUGAUUGGUGUCGGACUCCACUGCUACGUGUUGCUGAGUGAUGACGACAAACUACAGCCGGUGCUAGCCAGACAUCACUUCGGUCUUUUACGUUGGACUUCUGAGGAUGAACUGAUGCCAACUCCAAGACAUCAGAUACUUCAUAUGCCACUGCCUGAAACUUGGACUUAGGAUGGACCCCACCGAACCUCACCGAAAUUAUCUGCCUCAUUGAUCUCUGCCAGCAUCACCUUUGUCUAUUGAUGGAUUACACUCAUGAAAUGGAAUACAUAGACUAACAUUAAAAGCCACAGUCACCUUCGGCUUACUCACUGGGGUUCUAAAUACAAUUAUUAUUUAACUAUUUAAUUAUUUUAAUACACAAUUUACAAUUACACAGUGAUGACUAAGACUUUACAGAUAUUACAGUUCCAUUGUCUGUAAAAGCAUGAUUUUUCUGUAAAGCUGCUUUGAAAAGUUGUGUGUUGUGAAAGGGGCUAUACAAAUAAAAAAUGACGACUUAUUUUCUCUUUGAAAGGGAUUUUGUUUGUAAUUAUCUUCCAAAAUGUGCAUGAAAAGUAAAGAACACACCCCUUUUUGCUCAGGUUAUAUUUUUUAUUUUAUAAUUGCACUGUACUUUUUAAUAUCUACAAUGAAAAUUCACAAUACUGUCUUUUAUAUAGUGAUGCUGUCAGCUGUGUUUUAAUGCAUGACCUUAUUAUCGUGUUGCAGGUAACUGAGUUAUGAGUGUCUCCGAUGUGUAGUGUUCACAAUAUACUGAUUCAUGACAUAGAGGGUGAGAUGAGACACAGCAACUGUCAGGAUAAAGGGUGGUUAAAUACAGAGCUCCAGCUAAAAACCAUUCAGUUCCUCUCCUAUCUGGUUUCUCGACAGCUGGCAUUGCAUUUAGAUUAAAUAUAGGAUAAUUAUCAGUAAUGCAACAUCCAAAUUCCCUAUUUCAACAGAUAUGUAUCUUAAAUAAGGCCUAACAAGCCAAAAUAA